rnacentral:rRNA from 1 species
UCGAGGAUCUUCGGCAAUGGGCGCAAGCCUGACCGAGCGACGCCGCGUGUGGGAUGAAGGCCUUCGGGUUGUAAACCACUGUCAGGGGGGAUGAAGUCCCGAUGGGUACUCCCAUCGGGAACGCUUGACACAUCCCCAGAGGAAGCACGGGCUAAGUUCGUGCCAGCAGCCGCGGUAAGACGAACCGUGCGAACGUUGUUCGGAUUCACUGGGCUUAAAGGGCGCGUAGGCGGUCCGCCAAGUCCGGGGUGAAAUCUUUCGGCUCAACCGGAAAAUUGCCUCGGAUACUGGCGGUCUAGAAGAGGGUAGGGGCCGCGGGAACUUCCAGUGGAGCGGUGAAAUGCGUUGAUAUUGGAAGGAACGCCGGUGGCGAAAGCGCGCGGCUGGACCCUCCUUGACGCUGAGGCGCGAAAGCUAGGGUAGCGAACGG